rnacentral:lncRNA from 1 species
GCAGGAUGAUCAAGCUGUUCUCGCUGAAGCAGCAGAAGAAGGAGGAGUAGUCGGCGGGCGGCACCAAGCGCAGCAGCAAGAAGGCGUCGGCGGCGCAGCUGCGGAUCCAGAAGGACAUAAACGAGCUGAACCUGCCCAAGACGUGUGAUAUCAGCUUCUCAGAUCCAGACGACCUCCUCAACUUCAAGCUGGUCAUCUGUCCUGAUGAGGGCUUCUACAAGAGUGGGAAGUUUGUGUUCAGUUUUAAGAGAGAACUGGAAGCCAGUCCUUACGAUAA